UGUAAACACACAGAACAAGGCCAACCAGAGGCAGCCACAUACAGGACUGAAACAAGAGCUUCUAGUUCUGCUGCUGCUGCUGCUGCUGCUGAGGCUUUUGUCUGCCUUCAAUGGCUUCUGUUUGCGCACUACUGAACCAGCUCUUUCUCUUCCUCCUUCUAUGGCUUUAUACUCUCUCUUCUUCUCAAGCUGUGCACCACCAGUACAACUCUGAAUUUAGAUACCCAUUUAUCAAGAAAGCAAGCUCAUUCUCAUCAUCCUUGUCAUCAAGUGGCCGGGGAGAUCAUACAUAUGACUAUAUAGUUGUGGGAGGUGGCACAGCUGGGUGUCCUUUAGCCGCCACACUCUCUCAGAAAUUCAAUGUUUUAUUGCUUGAAAGAGGUGGAAUGCCUUUUGGCAAUGCAAAUAUCUCCUUAUUACAGAACUUCCAUAUUACCCUUACUGAUACUUCAUCAACUUCUGCUUCCCAAUACUUCAUUUCUACUGAUGGAGUCCUCAAUUCUAGGGCUAGAGUUUUGGGUGGUGGUACUUGCAUCAAUGCUGGGUUCUACACUAGAGCAAGCACAAGGUUUAUAAACAAAGUUGGUUGGGAUUUGAAGUUGGUGAACAAGUCAUACUCCUGGGUUGAGAAGCAGAUUGUUCACAGGCCUAAGGUUGCACCGUGGCAGGUUGUUGUAAGGGACAGUCUUUUGGAUCUUGGAGUUGCACCUUUCAAUGGAUUCACUUAUGAUCACAUUUAUGGAACCAAGUUUGGUGGUACCAUUUUUGACCGAUUCGGUCGUCGGCACACGGCUGCCGAACUACUUGCUUCUGCUGAUCCUCAUAAGCUCACUGUGUUGGUGCACGCCACAGUCCAAAAGGUUUUAUUUGACACAUCAGGAAAGCGACCAAAAGCAGCUGGAGUCCUAUUCAGAGAUGAAAAUGGAAACCAGCAUCAAGCAUUUCUAUCAAACAGCCUGAGUGAAGUAAUAUUGUCAUGUGGAGCCAUUGGCACCCCUCAGAUGCUAUUGCUCAGUGGUGUUGGCCCAAAAGCUGAACUUAAGGAGAUGAAAAUUUCAGUGGUCCUCAACAAUAAGUUUGUUGGGCAAGGCAUGGCUGAUAACCCCUUGAACUCAGUUUUCGUUCCUUCUAAAAAACCAGUAAAGCAGUCCCUCAUUCAAACUGUAGGGAUUACCAAGAUGGGUGUGUACAUUGAAGCUAGCAGUGGAUUUGGGCAGUCCAAGGACAGCAUACAAUGUCACCAUGGAAUAGUAUCUGCAGAGAUAGGGCAACUAUCAACCAUACCUCCAAAGCAAAGAACACCUGAGGCCAUCCAAGCAUACAUUAGACGAAAGAAGGACAUACCACAUGAGGCAUUCAGAGGAGGCUUUAUCCUUGAAAAGAUUUCCAACCCCAUUUCCACUGGCAAGCUCAAAUUGAUCAACACAAAUGUUGAAGAUAACCCUUCUGUCACCUUCAACUACUUUAAACAUCCACAUGAUUUACAACGUUGUGUUGAUGGUAUUCGCAUGGCUACAAAGAUGGUGCAAUCAGAACACUUUACAAAUUUUACGCAAUGUGACAAGCAGACCACAGACAAGAUUCUUAACAUGAGUGUCAGUGCUAAUGUUAACCUUAUACCUAAGCAUACCAAUGACACCAAGUCCCUAGAGCAGUUCUGCAAAGACACCGUACUCUCAAUUUGGCACUAUCAUGGUGGGUGUCAUGUUGGCAAGGUUGUGGACCGUGAGCACAAAGUUCUUGCUGUGCACAGGCUUCGCAUUGUAGAUGGAUCAGUAUUUGAUGAAUCUCCUGGGACUAAUCCUCAAGCCACCAUCCUGAUGAUGGGCAGGUAUAUGGGACUGAAAAUCUUGAGAGACAGACUAGGAAAAGCAGCUGGUGUUUAGGGGCUGAUCAGCCAGGAGCAUGAGAGGAGCAAUAUUAGUUUGAGUAGUGCAAAAUGUUUUUUUUGGCUGAAAAGAAAAAUGGAAUGGAAUCAAAACCUCCCUUCAGCUUCUCACAUUAACAUCAGUUUCUGUUUAUAUUCGAAGUUAGUGUAAUAAUCUCCUCAUUUCCUUUGGUAUGGCCUGUCAAUGCAACAAUCUGGGCAAGAAGACAUUCAGUACUGUCAAUACAAUGGUUGGCCAUCGUGUGGAUGCAUGAAGAGUUACGCGGAAAGAAAUUAUGAACAUGGAAAAGAGAGUUCUGCUUGGCAAUCUCGAAAACAUGUAGAAGGCAGCAUGAUCACUUGUUUAUUUGAAUCAGAUCAAUGAUCGAUACCUCAUUAAUGCAGUUGAAACACUUCAAAGUAGGUCUCAACGAAUUACGCAGUGCCUUCUGCAAAAUGAGAGGCUAGCAUUCAUGGGCUUCAGACUAUGACAGGUUCCACUAAAAUGCCAGCAUAAAAAACAAUUAACACAGCUCACCAGUGUUCCCAGGACGGCAAAGAUUUCCACCAAACAAAUUAGCUGCAUGUUGGUGUGGCAAGAAUCUCAAAAUAACUAGCAAUUAGAGGAGCAUGAAACUAUCAUAUGAUGACAGCUACUCUUCCAUGUUGUUAGUUAAUUUGAAUAGUUCAAAUACAAAUCUAAGUGUAUCUAUGAGUUGUACAGGAUAGGAUUUUAUCUUCUAUUAUCUCUAUAACAAACGUGUACGUGUAUUAUAUAACACUUGAAAGUAAAUGGAACAGUGUGCUUGAGCUUUUCCUCCUUCUCUAUGAAACUUC